rnacentral:sRNA from 1 species
GAGGGCGACCUGGCCGUGAUAUGUCACCCCUAUUGGUCACAGGGUUGAUUCAGCUGAUCUGGCGCUAGUGUCCCUUCCCUUUCUCGCCAC